UUUGAGAUGGCCGAGUUUGUCUAAGGCGCUAGAUUAAGGUUCUGGUCCGAAAGGGAAAGGGCGUGGGUUCAAAUCCCACUCUCAACA
rnacentral:tRNA from 1 species